rnacentral:lncRNA from 1 species
CCCAUCAUAUGUAUCUAUGUUUGGCAACAAACCAUUUAACCAUAACCUAAUUUGUUUAUUCCUUCGGUAGCCAGGUGACGAUCGUUAAAAUUCUAGUGUUGAAAAGUUUUCCGUCUACAGAACAAAAUUUUUAGUGAAUAGUGAGAUAAAAUAUCAGUGUCGAUAUGUCUUCUAUAGGAUCCACUAGUGACGACGAAGAACCACGUGUUUCUGACGAUGAAGCCUUCAGUGGCGAACCGGCGUCGGCAGUUGCCGGGUAUACAGGAAAAGUGAAUGUAUUUCUUCAAACCAUGUCAGAUUUCCAACGACGCGACGGGACUGCGCACCAGUAGACAGACAAGGAAUGGACAUGCUGAGCUAUAUUCCACCAUCCCCCGCCGGAACGGAUCAUUGUAUCACUGUCACAGACGCAACGACGAAAACGAGUCCAGAACACUUCUGAAAUUAUUAGCUCCCGGACAAGAUGCCGAAACUCAAGUAGUAGGGCUGCAGGACCUGCUAUCACCACUACCGCCGCCGCCAGCCCAGCCUUACCACUCAACCAACCAGUAUCCCGCGCUAUUUUCGUAGCAGCGGCUCUAGAUGGUGCGUUCAAUGACAAGGGAACACAGCUCAUUAAAUACACCGAUGAGCAAAUAAACAAGAGCAUAAUGGCCUGGCUGAAUUACAGCCAACCAAGAAUUAAGAGGGUAAAAGAGCUCAUCACUAUUCCUUUUUGUCAAGUUGUUAGGAUUCUUCUCGUCACCAUUAUAACUGUGUCCUUCAGAUUGGAGAGGAUACAACAGAAAAAUUCAGGGAAGAUGGCUGAGAGACAAGACAUCCAAGGUCAUUUAAGCGAUAAAAUUUGCUGAAUCAUAAUCUUCAGUUUCAGCUUAAAUUUAAAACUGUAUGCCUCCCUCCCUUCUUUCAUAAAUACAUGUUGCAACACCACCAGUUAAAAGGAUUACUCAUGGUGGUCAUUUCUCCCGUAAAACCACGCUCUUAAUUUGAAUCUGAGAACCAUAAAGUGUCUAAUUCCCACAAGCUGUACAGUCAGAUCAUUAAAUUCAUAAAAUAUUUAAACGUUUUUAAAAUUAAAGUAAUUUAUCUCGUGAACUUCUCUGUUUCUAAAAAAAAUCCGAAGGUGGGGAGGGUUAAGUUAUUAAACUAAUAAGCCUCAAAAUUGAAAGGCUGAUGAGAAAAAAAUACAUUUUCAGGCCCAGCAGGUUGUACGCAUGAAUUUUUGUCUGCUUUGUUUUUCAACCCUAAAUUUUUCUUAAUAAAAGCUGUAUUGAAAGCUCAGCUUGUUCAUCUCUCUUGAUGCACAAAAUUGAAAUCGUCACGAGGUUCGAAAGAUGGGCAUUGCCGAACGAAGUGUUACUAAAAAAUAUUUUCUGUUUGACCUGAUUAUCAUACCCACCGUCUCAUAUAAUAUCCUCUAAUUUAUGUUUCAUCUGUAUGCAACAGAAGGAAGAUUCUAAAAGAGGCAACAAGAGAAAAACCGUUUGAAACAGCCGGUAUACGGUUAGUCUUGUCUGAAUCGGAAGAAGAACUGGUCCUCCCAAAUUCCAGCGAGAAUGAUGUUUGAUUCAUUUUAAUAUGUUGCUUUUUUGACUUUGUAUUUUCUGGUUAUUCUUAUUUGUAUAACUUAUUUUUACAAUUAUUUGUAUAUUCUAUUUGUAUUUUUUGAACAGAGAACAAAAAAAUUAAAGGAAUUUAAGGAUUUACAUUUAAAACAAGGUCUUGAUUCAUUUUUUCCUUCCUGUAAGUCUUUUUGGAUCAAGCUUCAAUUCGCAUCUUUUCCUUUUGUAUUGCCUGUAAAAGUAUUAUACCUGUAUCCACAUCAAGGCAAGGCAUGUCCACAGCACAUACACAGAGAACCGGAAGUGGGUCCCGAACCGCUUGCCGCCACCACGCCGCUGAUUCAAAGCGCACCCCAGAAGCAACCGUCGCCGAUUCAAACAUUAGGUAUGAACAUAUGAAAUGUCAUAUUAAAUCUAAAUGUAUAAGUACCUAUAAAAAUAUAUAUAAUAUAUGUUUUAAAAAAUAUAUAUAAUAUAUUGUUUUAAAAAUACAUAAGAAACCGUGAACUGAACGGCCGAACGGGGAAUGAAGGUGGCUUGUAAAGACUCCAUGUUACAACAUUCCUUUUGUCCCUUUGUUGCAGGUAUUCCGCGGCUUACGCAAGACGAAAUGACGCAGAUUGCGGCAACUGUUGUAAGUAUGUUAUCCCUAAAGGAGCCCGACCGCAUUACAGAGAGUGGUCCGGAGAACACAAGAGCAUCGGAAAAAGCGAGAGGAAAGCGAAACUUAGCCGCUGCAUUGGGGAAUCUAGAGCUGGAUGGAUAAAUCGUCAGUUGCCACGGCAGCCCGAUGAGGGGACGUCGCGUUCAACCUUUUCUCCUCCUCCUCCACGCAUUGACCCCCUGGUUCAACCGGUGGCAGAAUUAGAGGACAACACGGAUUCCGACGACUCUGAAGCCACGGUGAGAUACACGGAAGGACCCCUGCCGACAGAGACCAGUACCCACAGUAUUGCAAGUGCAGAGACAGAACAGUACGACGAAUCGCUCUCGCAACAAUCAUUGUUUCAAGACAGCCAGUCCAACCUUUUUAUGCAAACGACAAAGGGUCCUCCUCCUGCAGAUGAAGGAGUUCCUGUCUUUGAAAGCGGCGUUUCAACGAAAGUAUCAGGCCUCCUAUAAGGCCAAUCCGCCAACGCUGCACCCCAACUCCAAAGCGGGGCGCCCACAAGUUCUGCCGCCGUAAAAGUACCAAGCCCAGGACCAUCAAGUGACGUAUUUUGAACAAAUCUUUCAAAAAUAUUUUUUCCCCUUUUUUGUG